rnacentral:lncRNA from 1 species
AUUCAUCAUCAUCAUCAUGGGUUCGAAUGCCAGCAAGCAGCAAGCAGCAACCACUAUCCACUACCCACUACCCACCAUCCAACAUAAGCAUCCUCCUCAUCGACAGGACAACCAUUAGCUAGAGGAUGCUUCCUCUUGCAUUCCCCAAUUGCAGCCCCGGACUCGGGAGUAAAAACUCACGCUCGAAAUCGCCGCCAUUGUUCGUGGAUGAAGAACUAUAAUACAGCUGUAAUACGUGAUGGCGAUUUGGCUGUCAUUAUUUUUGUGUGCC